AUUGAACGCUGGCGGCAGGCCUAACACAUGCAAGUCGAGCGGCGCGGCGGUCGGGUGUGUAAUGCCUUGGGAUCUGCCUGGUAGUGGUGGAUGACGUCCGGAAACGGGCGCUAAUACCGCAUACUAUCAGAUGAGCCUAGGUCGGAUGAGCUAGUUGGGGGGGUAAAGACCUACAAAGGCGACGAUCCGUAACUGGUCUGAGAGGAGGAUCAGUCACACUGGAACUGAGACACGGUCCAGACUCCUACGGGAGGCAGCAGGGGGGAAUAUUGGACAAUGGGCGAAAGCCUGAUCCAGCCAUGCCGCGUGUAUGAAGAAGGUCUUAGGAUUGUAAAGCACUUUAAGUUGGGAGGCGUUACCAACAGAAGAAGCACCGGCUAACUUCGUGCCAGCAGCCGCGGUAAUAC
rnacentral:rRNA from 1 species